rnacentral:rRNA from 1 species
UACGUAGGGGCUAGCGUUGUCCGGAUUUAUUGGGCGUAAAGAGCGUGUAGGCGGCCAGGUAGGUCUGCUGUGAAAACUACGAGGCUGCAACCAUCCGAGACGUCGGCGGAAACCAUCUGGCGUAGAGUCCGGAAGAGGAGAGUGGGAAUUCCUGGAUGUGAGCGGUGGAAAGUGACGCAGAUAUCAGGAAGAACACCCGUGGCGAAGGCGGCUCUCGUGGGACGGUACUGACGCUGAGACGCGAAAGCGUGGGGGAGCGAACAGG